AACGAACGCUGGCGGCAUGCCUAACACAUGCAAGUCGAACGAGACCUUCGGGUCCAGUGGCGCACGGGUGCGUAACGCGUGGGAACCUGCCCUUAGGUUCGGAAUAACUCCCCGAAAGGGGUGCUAAUACCGGAUAAUGUCUUCGGACCAAAGAUUUAUCGCCUUUGGAUGGGCCCGCGUUGGAUUAGCUAGUUGGUAGGGUAAAAGCCUACCAAGGCGACGAUCCAUAGCUGGUCUGAGAGGAUGAUCAGCCACACUGGGACUGAGACACGGCCGAGACUCCUACGGGAGGCAGCAGUGGGGAAUAUUGGACAAUGGGCGAAAGCCUGAUCCAGCAAUGCCGCGUGAGUGAUGAAGGCCUUAGGGUUGUAAAGCUCUUUUACCCGGGAUGAUAAUGACAGUACCGGGAGAAUAAGCUCCGGCUAACUCCGUG
rnacentral:rRNA from 1 species